rnacentral:tRNA from 2 species
GGGCCAUUAGCUCAAUUGGUAGAGCAUCGGACUCUUAAUCCGCUGGUUGUAGGUUCAAGUCCUACAUGGCCCACCA